GCUACAAGUUGACCACAGCAGCAGUAAAGAUGACUCUGAAGAAUGGCAUGGGAUGGAUCCUUUCGAAUGCAUUUGAGCAGCGGUCUCCAACCACAGGGCCACAGAGCUGGAGCUGGAUCUACCAUGAAAGACUUCUGAAUCCAGGAAGAGAGACUGACUGGGCAACAUGUUAUUCAGGAGAUGGGGGUCUCACCCUGUCACCCAGGCUUGAGUACAGUAGUGCUAUCACAGCUCACUGCAGCCUUGAACUCCUGGGCUAAGGAUCCUCCUACCUGAGCCUCCUGAGUAGCUAGGACUGUAGGGUCUCCCUCUGUUGUCCAAGGCUGGAGUGUAGUAGUGCUAUCGCAGCUGACUGCAGCCUCAACCUUCCAGGCUGAAGCGAUCCUCCCACCUCAACCUCCCACGUGGCUGAGACUACAGGUGCUUGCCACUAUGCCCAACUAAUAUUUGGAAUUUUCGUAUACGUGGAUUCCAGAGGGGUGACAGCGAAACGUGGGACCAUCCAGUUGCAGGAAAACAAGCUUAACAUGCCCACUGAUUCUACA
rnacentral:lncRNA from 10 species